rnacentral:lncRNA from 1 species
UGUAUAUGUUGGCUGCAGUAGGUUCUGAUUUACUGUUUGGAGUAGGAUGCACCUAGAAGGAAUUUAUCGAUCUUGAUAGAAAAAGAGAAGUCAUAUGCGAUUUGCGAGACUGAGUUCAAAAAGUCUUUGAUCAAAGCAAGUGUAAAUAUUAGAAAAGAGUUUCCACGAGAUUCACAUAUGAACUUGAGUCGAGCUAAUCUAGUAUAUGA